CCGGUGAUUCCUGCCGGACCCGACUGCUAUCAGAGUGGGACUAAGCCAUGCGAGUUGACGUAGUAAUACGUAGCGAACGGCUCAGUAACACGUAGUCAACAUGCCCAGGGGACGUGGAUAACCUCGGGAAACUGAGAAUAAACCGCGAUAGGUCACAAUUUCUGGAAUGGAUUUUGGCUUAAAUCUACAUGGCCCCUGGAUUGGACUGCGGCCGAUCAGGCUGUUGGUGAGGUAAUGGCCCACCAAACCUGUAACCGGUACGGGCUCUGAGAGGAGGAGCCCGGAGAUGGGCACUGAGACAAGGGCCCAGGCCCUAUGGGGCGCAGCAGGCGCGAAACCUCUGCAAUGGGCGAAAGCCUGACAGGGUUACUCUGAGUGAUUUCCGCUAAGGGGAUCUUUUGACACCUCUAAAAAUGGUGCAGAAUAAGGGGUGGGCAAGCCUGGUGUCAGCCGCCGCGGUAAUACCAGCACCCCGAGUGGUCGGGACGAUUAUUGGGCCUAAAGCAUCCGUAGCCGGUCAUGCAAGUCUUCCGUUAAAUCCACCCGCUCAACGGUUGGGCUGCGGAGGAUACUACGUGGCUAGGAGGCGGGAGAGGCAAGCGGUACUCAGUGGGUAGGGGUAAAAUCCUUUGAUCCAUUGAAGACCACCAGUGGCGAAGGCGGCUUGCCAGAACGCGCUCGACGGUGAGGGAUGAAAGCUGGGGGAGCAAACCGGAUUAGAUACCCGGGUAGUCCCAGCUGUAAACGAUGCAGACUCGGUGAUGGGAUGGCCUCGAGCUAUCCCAGUGCCGCAGGGAAGCCGUUAAGUCUGCCGCCUGGGGAGUACGGUCGCAAGACUGAAACUUAAAGGAAUUGGCGGGGGAGCACCACAAGGGGUGAAGCCUGCGGUUCAUUUGGAUUCACGCCGGGACUCUAGAGAUCCCC
rnacentral:rRNA from 1 species